rnacentral:rRNA from 1 species
UCCGUAGGUGAACCUGCGGAAGGAUCAUUAGUUUAUGCCGUCCUGGAAACGGGCCACGGCGUCGGGUCUCGCUUUGAAAAAAGUGUGGGCUGUCUGAAAACCCUUGAAUAUAAAACUCUGUUGCUUUGGUGGGCCGCUUUUUUUGGCGUUGGCCACGGCUGAUAGUGCCCGCCAGAGGCCAAAAACUCUACUAUCUUUGACGUCUGAGUACUAUAUAAUAGUUAAAACUUUCAACAACGGAUCUCUUGGUUCUGGCAUCGAUGAAGAACGCAGCGAAAUGCGAUAAGUAAUGUGAAUUGCAGAAUUCAGUGAAUCAUCGAAUCUUUGAACGCACAUUGCGCCCCCUGGUACUCCGGGGGGCAUGCCUGUUCGAGCGUCAUUAUGACCAAAUCCCGCAGGGGGUCUUGGGGUCCGCAGUUCACUGCGGCCCUUAAAAUCAGUGGCGGUGCCAGCGGUGCUCCUAGCGUAGUAAUAUUCCUCGCUCGGGAACUACGGUGGAUACUCGCCAACAAACUUAAUUUUUUAAAAGGUUGACCUCGGAUCAGGUAGGGAUACCCGCUGAACUUAAGCAUAUCAAUAAGCGGAGGAAAAGAAACCAACAGGGAUUACCUCAGUAACGGCGAGUGAAGCGGUAACAGCUCAAAUUUGAAAUCUGGCUCUUUCGGGGUCCGAGUUGUAAUUUGUAGAAGAUGCUUUGGACGUGGCUCCGGUCUAAGUUCCUUGGAACAGGACGUCAUAGAGGGUGAGAAUCCCGUACGUGACUGGGUGCCUUUGUCCGUGUAAAGCUCUUUCGACGAGUCGAGUUGUUUGGGAAUGCAGCUCAAAAUGGGUGGUAAAUUUCAUCUAAAGCUAAAUAUUGGCCAGAGACCGAUAGCGCACAAGUAGAGUGAUCGAAAGAUGAAAAG